rnacentral:sRNA from 1 species
GCGAUGAGCUAUAUUGAAUAAGUCAAUAAACGUUAUUGCGCUAUGUGGAGCGUAGUUUAUUGCCUCAAUACGUAGGACACAUUUUAUGUGUCCC